AGCGAACGCUGGCGGCAGGCCUAACACAUGCAAGUCGAACGGCAGCACUGGGGAGUUUGCCCCAUGGGUGGCGCGUGGCGGACGGGUGUGGAAUACAUCGGAAUCUACUUUGUCGUGGGGGCUACCGUUGGGAACCUUACGUUAAUACCGAUUACGACUUCAGGGAGAAGGUUGGGGUUCGAAAGACCCUGUGCGAUUGCUCGAGCCGAGGUCCGCUUAGCUUGUUGGCGGGGGAAAGGCCAACCAGGGCGACGAUCGGUAGCGGGUCUGAGAGGAGGAUCAGCCACACGGGAACUAGAACACGGUCCAGACUCCUACGGGAGGCGGCGGAGGGGAAUAUUGGACAAAGAGCGAAAGCCUGAUCCAGCCAUGCCGCGUAGGUGAAGAGGGCCUUCGGUUGGUAAAGCCCGUUUGUUGGGAAGAAAAACGGUCCGGUUGGAACCCGGAGAGAGUGACGGUACCCAAAGAAAAAGCACCGGCUAACUUCGUG
rnacentral:rRNA from 1 species